AUUUGUUAGAUUAUUGUCAUGUCUAAUCAUGGUUUACUUUAUGAACUGUUUGCUUUCUUGCUACUAUUUUGCGGUGCUUGUUACUUUCAUUGGCAGAGCCAAUUUAUCGAAAUUCUCAUAUUCCUUGUUUUACUGCUAUGAAAGUAUUGAAUAACUUUAUGAAAUUCUUUAUGCAACCCAACCGUGGAGACAAUGCUCUCAUCAUAUCAACAAUCUACUGUAGGGGACUAACUGUGUAGUUGAUUUUCAUCUUAUCAACAAUUUACUUUGAAUGUUGUCUAUAAGUCUGGAUUGAAGAUCUUUCUGGGCAGGAAACUCGUCGUAGCGACUCGACACGAUGUAACACAUCACCUCUUCAAAAGUGAGAACACAAAGAUGAGGUUCAUUGAUAAGGCUUGUCUGCUAAGGAAAGUGUCUUCCAGCUAAGUCCCCAAGGUCCGUGGUCGGUCAGUUUGGAAUGGUGAAGACUUAAAAGCGAUGAAAAUCAAGCUGAAUCUCUCCCUUUGAAUUCUGGGAAAUCCAUACCUUUCAAAAAAGUAUAUAUAUAUAUAUAUAUAUUUUUUUUUAUGUUCUUGGGUAGAAAUUUAAACGUACACAUAUAUCUUAAUCAGUUGAUCUGUGUUUGCCUUGACAAUUAGAAAUAUGUACAUGUUAGAUUGGGUCGGGUUAAAGGUACUUUAGAGUCAAUAUCUUUGGGUUGGUUGGUUCUUUGGUCCGACCCAUCCGAUUAAAGAUGACAACCUAGCCCACCCCUUGUAUCAUGAAAAUUUAGAGCUUUGGUU